CGGGGGGGGCAAGUGUUCUUCGGAAUUACUGGGCGUAAAGGGCUCGUAGGCGGCCAACUAAGUCAGACGUGAAAUCCCUAGGCUCAACCUAGGAACUGCGUCUGAUACUGGAUGGCUUGAAUCCGGGAGAGGGAUGCAGAAUUCCAGGUGUAGCGGUGAAAUGCGUAGAUAUCUGGAGGAAUACCGGUGGCGAAGGCGGCAUCCUGGACCGGCAUUGACGCUGAGGAGCGAAAGCCAGGGGAGCAAACGGG
rnacentral:rRNA from 1 species